ACCUCUAGCAUUACUAGUAUUAGAGGCACUGCCUGCCCAGUGACACACGUUUAACGGCCGCGGUACCCUGACCGUGCAAAGGUAGCAUAAUCACUUGUUCUUUAAAUAGGGACUCGUAUGAAUGGCAUCACGAGGGUUUAACUGUCUCUUACUUUCAACCAGUGAAAUUGACCUGUCCGUGAAGAGACGGACAUGAAACAAUAAGACGAGAAGACCCUGUGGAGCUUCAAUUUAUUAGUACAACUAAAAACAACACAAACCAACAGGCCCUAAACCCCUACAUCUGUGCUAAAAAUUUUGGUUGGGGCGACCUCGGAGCACAACCAAACCUCCGAAUAAUCCACGCUAAGACUACACAAGUCAAAGCAAACUAACACCUACAAUUGACCCAAUAAUUUGAUCAACGGAACAAGUUACCCCAGGGAUAACAGCGCAAUUCUAUUCUAGAGUCCAUAUCAACAAUAGAGUUUACGACCUCGAUGUUGGAUCAGGAUAUCCUAAUGGUGCAGCAGCUAUCAAG
rnacentral:rRNA from 1 species